rnacentral:rRNA from 1 species
GACGAACCGUGCGAACGUUGUUCGGAAUCACUGGGCUUAAAGGGCGCGUAGGCGGGCGUGCAAGUCAGGGGUGAAAUCCUCCGGCUCAACCGGAGAACAGCUUUUGAUACUGCACGCCUCGAGGGGGGUAGGGGCAUGUGGAACUUCCGGUGGAGCGGUGAAAUGCGUAGAUAUCGGAAGGAACGCCGGUGGCGAAAGCGACGUGCUGGACCCCUUCUGACGCUUAAGCGCGACAGCGUGGGGAGCAAACAGG